CCCCAACCCCCGCUCGCGGUCUUAAAGGGGCCGCGACCCCCGCGCUGAGGGGGCGGCGGGUUUGGGGUUUGUUCCCGGUUCGCGGUCCCGGUUCCCGAGUGGAAAGAACCGUGACCGCGGUUCCCUCCGGUCACCACAGAGCGUGUAGGAGCGGGAUUGGACCCGACCGCGUCAGCAGGUUGAGUCACUCCAGGACGUGGCCGUGUUUUCCACCCCCAGGAAGUGAGGGAGAGUUGGAUCCCAGGGCCAUGGCAGCAGAUGAGAGGGAUUACAACCUGACAGAGGAGCAGAAGGCUGUCAAGGCCAAAUACCCUCCACUCUGUAAGAAAUAUGAAUAUCUGGAUCACACAGCAGAUGUCCAGCUCCAUGCCUGGGGGGACACGUUGGAGGAGGCAUUUGAGCAGUGUGUCAUGGCCAUGUUUGGCUACAUGACGGACACAGAGACCGUGGAGCCCGUGGAUACAGUAGAGGUGGAGGCAGAAGGGCACGACAUGUUGUCUCUCCUCUUCCACCUCCUGGAUGAGUGGCUGUAUAAAUUCAGUGCUAAUGAGUUCUUUGUACCCAGGGAGGUGAAAGUGCUUCACAUCGACCGAAUGCAAUUCAAAAUCAGAUCAAUUGGGUGGGGAGAAGAGUUCUCUUUAGGCAAACACCCACAGGGCACAGAGGUCAAAGCCAUCACUUACUCAGCGAUGCAGAUCUGUGAGGAUGAAAAGCCAGAAGUCUUUGUCAUCAUUGAUAUUUAAAGCAAGAAAAAGUAUGGCCAAGUGGAUAUUAUGGGCUGGCAAAAGUCCCCUAAAACUGUAAUCCCUGUGAAAGUAACCAAGGAAUUGGGCAGUUAAAAUCAUAAAUUGAAGGGAGUAACUGCAGGGAAUGUCAGCCAGUGUUUUCAUGUGAAGAUGGUGAGACAGAAAAUAAAAAGAACUAGUUGGGGGUUUGGGGGAUGUUGAGAAGAAGAGAUCUGUAGGAGUUGGAAAUCUCCCAGGAAUGCUGGUAUUCUGUAUGAAAUACAGAAAUUAGUGGAGGUCCUAACUAAAAUGCUGCCUUUUUGUAGGGUGGCAGGAGAAAAUGUUCAUCUACGUGAUGUCCUUUGCAGAUUUCACUGUUCUAAUUCUGAGCUGACAUCCCUCCUCCAUUUUAUACAAAUCCCAAAUAGCUGCAGUGGCUCAGAUUUAAUGUGGAAAAAAAUCUGACUGUCGAAAAGACACCUAAAAAAAAAAAAAUUAAACCAAUUAAAAAAACCAAACCACCACACCUUUAAAAGUCGUGCCAGCAGGUGGUGCUGAAUUGCUGUAAAUAAAUUUCCACCUGAAAUCCUAAAGCAUGUGACCAUGUACCUGGAACCCUCAUAUCACCUCUGAUCCCCCUGAAAAGUUGGCAGCUCUGCCAGGAGAUGCACCAGGUUGGAAAGGGGUGCCCCAGGCUCUCUGCAGCUUCACUCCCAACUGUGUCUUGUGAAAAAGGAUUCUCUUUAUAAUAGCAGAUGGUUUGGAUCACCCUUUAGAAAGGACAAUGAAGAGAGUCCUUUAAUGUCAAAGGAUUAUGGGCUUCACUGAAUCAAAAUUAAUCAAGGAUAAUGGAAAGUGUGUUUUGUCUUAAAUCACAGGUUGGCAAAGGUGUGUUACCUGCCAUUGCUAUUUAAAUGUGGGGAGCACAGCCCUGACCUGUUAUUGUGAAUGCUUCACGUGCCUCAGCUCUGGAGCGUGCCGAAAUAAAACUGGGACUGAAAGGAGCCGUGGAUUUGUGUGUGAUUUUUGGCUGGCCAAUCCAGACACUUGUACUUUGCUCCCUGCUGAGUUAUCACUGAAAAUUUGAGAGGCACCCCAAAAUCCUGAAGGAUGGAGCAUUCCUGGAAGGAUACCUGCAGCAGUCAGUGCCAGUCCUCUGUGAGAGCUCUGCGGGCUUAGAGACCUGAAGGCAAAGAUUUCAGUACCCACAGAUGAGCAGAAUCACCUGGUCAUAGCGAGUGUGCAGCUGCCCAGUGACGAUGCCCAGUUUGAUGCCUCACACUAUGACAGUGAGAAAGGAGGUCGAGCUUCCCGGAGUACAGGAAGUCCAGGAUGACGGAGAAGGCCUCGGAGGUGACGAUGUCCAGGGAGGCGGUGCUGUGGCGGCCGCUGUCCUGGAUGUAGUGGAUGAGCAGCGCUCGGAAGUAGCCGCUGUUGGCGAACAGGAUGUUCUUGUGCGCCUUGAAGAUCCGGCCCUCCACGAUGAUGCUGCAGUCGCAGAAGAAGUCCCGCUUGCGCUGCUCGUUCAGCUCCCCCAGCAGUUUGGUGUAGUAGGACUGCACCUCCAUGGCUGUGCCGGGAAACACGGGGCACCGUCAGCAACGGGGACCCACGGGGACCCCCGAAGGGGCACCGGGGAUA